AACGCGAAGAACCUUACCUGGGCUCGAACGGCUUCUCAACGGCGUUAGAAAUAGCGCUACCCCGCAAGGGGGUGGAGUCGAGGUGCUGCAUGGCUGUCGUCAGCUCGUGUCGUGAGAUGUUGGGUUAAGUCCCGCAACGAGCGCAACCCUUGUCCUGUGUUGCCAUGCCGCAAGGCGGCACUCGCAGGAGACCGCCAGCGAUAAGCUGGAGGAAGGUGGGGAUGACGUCAAGUCCUCAUGGCCUUUAUGUCCAGGGCUACACACGUGCUACAAUGGCCGGUACAAAGCGUCGCUAACCCGCGAGGGGGAGCCAAUCGCAAAAAACCGGUCUCAGUUCGGAUUGCAGGCUGCAACUCGCCUGCAUGAAGCUGGAAUCGCUAGUAAUGGCAGAUCAGCACGCUGCCGUGAAUACGUUCCCGGGCCUUGUACACACCGUAGUAC
rnacentral:rRNA from 1 species